GCCCCAGUAACAUAUUGAAUUUAAUGGAAUUUAUACUUCCAUGUGAUUAUUGAAAAUCCUCGUGUCGGUGGUUCGAUUCCGCCUCGAGGCACCA
rnacentral:tRNA from 1 species